GACGAACGCUGGCGGCGUGCUUAACACAUGCAAGUCGAACGGAAAGGCCCUGCUUUUGUGGGGUGCUCGAGUGGCGAACGGGUGAGUAACACGAGAGUAACCUGCCCUUGACUUUGGGAUAACUUCAGGAAACUGGGGCUAAUACCGGAUAGGAGCUCCUGCUGCAUGGUGGGGGUUGGAAAGUUUCGGCGGUUGGGGAUGGACUCGCGGCUUAUCAGCUUGUUGGUGGGGUAGUGGCUUACCAAGGCUUUGACGGGUAGCCGGCCUGAGAGGGUGACCGGCCACAUUGGGACUGAGAUACGGCCCAGACUCCUACGGGAGGCAGCAGUGUGGAAUAUUGCACAAUGGGCGGAAGCCUGAUGCAGCAACGCCGCGUGCGGGAUGACGGCCUUCGUGUUGUAAACCGCUUUCGCCUGUGACGAAGCGUGAGUGACGGUAAUGUGUAAAGAAGCACCGGCUAACUACGUG
rnacentral:rRNA from 1 species